UGGGGAAUAUUGCACAAUGGGGGAAACCCUGAUGCAGCGACGCCGCGUGAGCGAAGAAGGCUUUCGAGUCGUAAAGCUCUGUCCUAUGAGAAGAUAAUGACGGUAUCAUAGGAGGAAGCCCUGGCUAAAUACGUGCCAGCAGCCGCGGUAAUAAGUAUGGAGCAAGCGUUAUCCGGAUUCAUUGGGCGUAAAGCGCUCGUAGGCGGUCUGUUAGGUCGGCAAGUUAAAUCCGGGGGCUCAACCCCCGUCCGCUUCCGAUACCGGCAGACUUGAGUUUGGUAGGGGAAGGUGGAAUUCCUAGUGUAGCGGUGGAAUGCGCAGAUAUUAGGAAGAACACCGGUGGCGAAGGCGGCCUUCUGGGCCAUAACUGACGCUGAGGAGCGAAAGCUAGGGGAGCGAACAGG
rnacentral:rRNA from 1 species